rnacentral:tRNA from 1 species
UGUCCUGUGGCCCAAUGGAUAAGGCGCCUGACUACGAAUCAGCUGAUUCCAGGUUCGAGUCCUGGCAGGAUCG